rnacentral:tRNA from 2 species
AAAAUCCGUCGAUUUUAGAAAUCGUGAGGGUUCAAGUCCCUCUAUCCCCAAAAAGCCCGUUUUACGGAUUUUACUGUCUAACUAUUUAUUCUAUCCUUUU